rnacentral:rRNA from 1 species
CCUACGGGGGGCAGCAGUGGGGGAUAUUGCACAAUGGGGGAAACCCUGAUGCAGCGACGCCGCGUGGGUGAAGAAGCGCCUCGGCGCGUAAAGCCCUGUCAGCAGGGAAGAAAAUGACGGUACCUGAAGAAGAAGCCCCGGCUAACUACGUGCCAGCAGCCGCGGUAAUACGUAGGGGGCAAGCGUUAGCCGGAUUUACGGGGUGUAAAGGGGGCGCAGACGGCGAUGCAAGCCAGGAGUGAAAGCCCGGGGCCUAACCCCGGGACUGCUCUUGGAACUGCGUGGCUAGAGUGCAGGAGGGGCAGGCGGAAUUCCCGGUGUAGCGGUGAAAUGCGUAGAUAUCAGGAGGAACACCAGUGGCGAAGGCGGCCUGCUGGACUGCAACUGACGUUGAGGCCCGAAAGCGUGGGGAGCAAACAGGAUUAGAUACCCCAGUAGUC